ACAGAGGCUUUCUUGAGGAGAAAACUAAGCUUUAACCACUAAGAAGAUGGUUGUUAUGGGAUCCAAUAGAAUAAUAGACAUUUUGGAAUCAAACACUCAAACCAAAAACAUAAAAUUAUGUGCAGAUUAUGCUGAAUUUACAAUUAUUUAUCCAAACAAUUCUUAAUAAAGCUUAAUAGAAUAUAUAGAGCAGUAUGAUUCAUUUUCAGUUGAUUGGAUUAAUAAAUACAAGAUCCAAAUAUGGGUAUGGAACUUAUUUAAAGAAGAAAAUCUAUAGCGAAAAAUAAGGUUUAACAUCAUUGCUAAAAAGAUCAUUUAUAUGGAGAUUUAUUUAACAAACAAUAAAAAUUUAUUUAAUAACAAUUACUCAACGUAGAGAAAUAUAAUGCUAAACAUUUCAAGUUAGGAAAGGCAGAAACUCUUUGAUAGGAAAAAUUGCAUGGGUAAAAACGCAAAUCUUAACUUUUUGAUCUAAAAGAUCCCAAUAAAAAUGGAUGAAAAUAUACAGUAUUAAAUGACUGACAGCAAAAAAAACCAAAAAUGUAUACAUGGCGUAACAAAAUACCCAGGAUAAAAUUUAAAAACAAAAUAUAAGACUUGAACAAAUAAAUAGGCUAGUAGCAACAAAUCGUAAUUUGUAUUACCAGGCUAGUUGUGUCAGAUAACAUUUGAUUGUAACAUUUGAUGGCUGGAUUGCUUGUGAGGAAGGAGUAGGAAUUUUAAAAGGACUGCACAAAUAUGUCUGAUAGAGGCAGAAAAAAAAGAUCAAUCUUUUAAAAUAUGAGAUAAAUGGAAACAUAAUCUGUUCUAUCUAUAAUCUGUUCUGCUUGAGCAAAGAGUUGGACACCCCUGGUCUAAAAGAUUCCCCAAGGUCCAUUCCAUUUCUGUUACUCUGUUAUCUAUUGCCCCUUGCCUUGGUAAAAAAUAUUUUUAUGGAAAAUAUAUAAAGAAAUAUGAAAAAUAAAUAAAGAAUAUAAGGUAUAAUCAUAUAACUGCAAUCUUUUUAAUAAAGCAAUCUUUCAUUGUGUUCCCUUAUGAAUGACCAGAAUAAUUUGAUUAAUUGGUGUCAGAUUUUUUUCCUUCCAUUCAAUCAUGUCCUAUCCUCAGAGAUUGACCAGUCUCUUGGCAAGAUUUUUCAAAAGUGAUUUGCCAACCCUUCCGAGGGUUGAGAGAAAGUGACUUGCCCAAGGUCACCCAAUUCAUGCCCAAAGUAGGACUAGAAUUCACAGUCUCCCAGUUUCUAGCUUGAUGCCUUAGCUACUACAAUAAUUUCGUUCUCAUCAGAUGUUUUACUAGUGGUGUAUUACUUUAGUGUUGAUUAUCAGAAUAGACAAUUCUUAAAAUAUUCUGGAAAUGCUAUAGUAUAUAGGAUCAUUUUUUCUGUGUGAUGUUAUGUUGUAAAGUCCAACAGGUGUGGAAAAUGAUUUAUAAUAGAAUGAAAUAAAUGCUCCAUUCCAGCCUGUCAGCUUUUUGUUAAUAUUGCUAAACUUUAUAUUCCCCUAUACUGAUUUGGGUCUGUACAUGCAACAGCUACAAGAAUUUUGUAUACCUCCAACUGAAAAUACAAUUUCUUCCAUAGAAGAAUGAGAAAACAAAUUGUAGGAGUAUGUUCCACUGUCAGGUUAACUCUGUCAGUCUAUUGUAGC